rnacentral:lncRNA from 1 species
CUUAGUUACAAAUAAAACAAAAUAAACAAAUAUAUAUAUAUAUCAAUUGUUUUGUAAACAAUUGCUAGUGGCAGUCUAAAUGAUUGAUUGAUGGAUGGGUUGGUUGGUUGGUUAGUUAGUUAGUUAGUUAGUUAGUUAGUUAGUUAGUUAUUAGUUAGUUGAUUGGUUGGUUGAUUGGUUGGUUGGUAUGCCAAAAAAACACAUUGGACCUAGACUGUAGGGAACAUGCUAAAAAAAAAAGAUUAUCCCUGAUCCUCUAUUAAACACAUGGACCAGACACCUACAUGAGUGAUUAGUGGGUUGGUUCGUUGCUUGGUUGGUCGGUUGGUUGGUUGGUCGAUUUAUUGAUUGAUUGAUUGAUUGAUUAAUUGCAUGGCACUUUCUCUGUGCGACGCAACUAACUUAAAUAACGCCUAUAUUCUGACCGAACGUGACUGUGUACUUAUUCAUCCCGCACAGCCAAACGGACGCCUGAGAUGUCCUCAUUAAUAUUAAUCCUAGCAUCAUUCGUAUAUAAAUUUUCUCUAGUUUCUAUGUUACCUCGGACUUCCAUUUUUCAUCUAUUUGUUGUGUAUGCGUUUCGUUUGAAUUUGUAGGAAAACGGAGUAAAUUUUAUCUUGGAAGUUCCAUUUUCCUGAUUUGGAUUUGGAAAUGUUUUAUUCUAAAUUUAGGUCCGCGCGCGAGAUGGUGUUGUGAAGUCACGUGACCCUCAAAUAUAUAUGUCUGGAGAAUAUUAAUUUCUUUUCAGGGGAGACCGUUGAACAGAGCACAUGUGUAUUGAUCGGAGAAACACGAUGUCUAUUGGUUUUAUGAUUUACCGGUCAUUGAUGACGGAUCAUGCAUGCAUGCAUCUUACGUGCACAUGUUUGCGAGAGCACAGAUUUGUAUUUUAAUACAUUUUUAGAAAUUUUAUUUUGG